rnacentral:rRNA from 1 species
CACGUAGGGUGCGAGCGUUGUCCGGAAUUAUUGGGCGUAAAGAGCUCGUAGGCGGCUUGUCGCGUCGAAUGUGAAAUCUCAGGGCUCAACUCUGACAUUGCAUUCGAUACGGGCAGGCUAGAGUUCGGUAGGGGAGACUGGAAUUCCUGGUGUAGCGGUGAAAUGCGCAGAUAUCAGGAGGAACACCGGUGGCGAAGGCGGGUCUCUGGGCCGAUACUGACGCUGAGGAGCGAAAGCGUGGGGAGCGAACAGG